rnacentral:rRNA from 1 species
UACGUAGGGGGCAAGCGUUGUCCGGAUUUACUGGGCGUAAAGGGCGCGUAGGCGGCCACCGCAAGUCGGUUGUGAAAUCUCUGGGCUUAACCCAGAAAGGUCAACCGAUACUGCGGGGCUAGAGUGCAGAAGGGGCAACUGGAAUUCUCGGUGUAGCGGUGAAAUGCGUAGAUAUCGAGAGGAACACCUGCGGCGAAGGCGGGUUGCUGGGCUGACACUGACGCUGAAGCGCGAAAGCUAGGGGAGCGAACAGG